UUGACGUGCUCCUGUUUUACAGUAAUUAUUUAACAAUAAAUUGCAACAAUUAAUUGUUAAUUUAUAAUAAAUCAGUUUAUUAACUCGCUGGCUACCAUUUGAGUGCAAAAUUAUGGCUAGAUGUCACGUAUUUUAGCUACAAAUUGAUAUUGUUUAAAGUGCCCGAAAGCGGCCGGGUCAUGAGAGGACGCCAUAGAAUUUUUCAUUAACAAAAUGACCGUAGAAUCGCCUGGAUAUUUCAAAAGUUGUCAAGCCUGGAUAGAUGCCAUGACAUUUACAACAAAACAUGACAACAGAUGUUAAAAAAAUCAAAAAAUAUUUGGAAAGAAUGACAUGACAUGACAAGCGACAAAAGUCUUGACUUUUCAUUAAACAAAAAGCGAUGUUCAUAAAUAUUUCAAAGUUGAACAAUUCUGAGUAUGGUUUGUCAUUUGAGCCAAAAUCAUUUUGGAGCGUAUUGCAUUAAAUUUAGUUGAGGGCAAAAAUACCUGUACAAUGUUCUAACAGGCCAAUAUAUAAUACUUGAUGAACAAUACCAAGCAAAUGAUUAUAGUGUUGAAAGUGUUAUUAGAUGCAUCAUUGUUCAUACUUUGUGUUAGCAAGUGUAUUUUAAAAAUUAAUCAAAUUGUUUAUAAACUAAUUGACAAUUUAACAAUCAUCAAAAAUCAUCCAGUUGAACCAGCAACAAGUAUCGAUACCAUCUACAUGAUAUGCUUAUGCUUCAAUAAUGAUGAAUCCCUGAUUAUGAAAAAACAUUACUUAAUUAUUUACAUGUUGCACGUACAAUUGAAUUUUAAUAAAUGGCUGUUGGUGUCAUUUAUUAUCAUGCUGUUAACUCUAAUGUAUCAUUCAUGUUGGUGGUAUUCAUGACUCUUCAUGACUUGUCAUCUCAUAUGAUUAAAUCUAUUUGUUACUGGAAGAAUAAUCAACAACAUCACAUGGUGCUGGUAUUAUUGACUCUCUCAUGUACCAGUUAUUGUUGUUGUUAUUGUUCAACAUUUGCUAAUGUUUAUUGAAAUUGUCUCUGAUAAAGUGUUAUAGUGAUGCUUAUAAAUAACAAUAUGAGACUAUGAGAGUUGAGAGCUGCUGUGAGCAUCAGAGAGCAUAAGAAUAUACUGCCUCUAGCAAAUGGCUUGCCUCUCCUCUAUUCAAGAGCUUGUAUACAUCAAAGAGCUCGCCGCUAUAGCAACUACGUGU